rnacentral:rRNA from 1 species
AGAGUUUGAUCAUGGCUCAGGAUGAACGCUGGCGGUAUGCUUAACACAUGCAAGUCGAACGGAUGUUUUCGGACAUUAGUGGCGGACGGGUGAGUAACGCGUGAGAAUCUAGCUUCAGGUUGGGGACAACAGUUGGAAACGACUGCUAAUACCGAAUAUGCCGAGAGGUGAAAGAUUUAUUGCCUGAAGAAGAGCUCGCGUCUGAUUAGCUAGUUGGUGGGGUAAGAGCUUACCAAGGCGACGAUCGGUAGCUGGUCUGAGAGGACGAUCAGCCACACUGGGACUGAGACACGGCCCAGACUCCUACGGGAGGCAGCAGUGGGGAAUUUUCCGCAAUGGGCGAAAGCCUGACGGAGCAAUACCGCGUGAGGGAAGAAGGCUCUUGGGUUGUAAACCUCUUUUCUUAGGGAAGAAAAAAAUGACGGUACCUAAGGAAUAAGCAUCGGCUAACUCCGUGCCAGCAGCCGCGGUAAUACGGAGGAUGCAAGCGUUAUCCGGAAUGAUUGGGCGUAAAGCGUCCGCAGGUGGUUUAUCAAGUUUGCGGUUAAAGGUUCUGGCUCAACCAGAGACAAGCCGUGAAAACUGAUAGACUAGAGUAUGGUAGGGGCAGAGGGAAUUCCCAGUGUAGCGGUGAAAUGCGUAGAGAUUGGGAAGAACACCGGUGGCGAAAGCGCUCUGCUA